rnacentral:rRNA from 1 species
CGGCAGGGCUUAAACACAUGCAAAGUCGAGCGCCCCGCAAGGGGGAGCGGCAGACGGGGUGAGUAAACGCGUGGGAAUCUACCCCAGCUCUACGGAAUAACCCAGGGAAACUUGGACUAAUACCGUAUACGUCCUUCGGGAGAAAGAUUUAUCGGAGUUGGAUGAGCCCGCGUUGGAUUAGCUAGUUGGUGGGGUAAAGGCCUACCAAGGCGACGAUCCAUAGCUGGUCUGAGAGGAUGAUCAGCCACACUGGGACUGAGACACGGCCCAGACUCCUACGGGAGGCAGCAGUGGGGAAUAUUGGACAAUGGGCGCAAGCCUGAUCCAGCCAUGCCGCGUGAGUGAUGAAGGCCCUAGGGUUGUAAAGCUCUUUCAACGGUGAAGAUAAUGACGGUAACCGUAGAAGAAGCCCCGGCUAACUUCGUGC